rnacentral:rRNA from 1 species
GGGUUGUGAGGUUAAGCGACUAAGCGUACACGGUGGAUGCCCUGGCAGUCAGAGGCGAUGAAGGACGUGCUAAUCUGCGAUAAGCGUCGGUAAGGUGAUAUGAACCGUUAUAACCGGCGAUUUCCGAAUGGGGAAACCCAGUGUGUUUCGACACACUAUCAUUAACUGAAUCCAUAGGUUAAUGAGGCGAACCGGGGGAACUGAAACAUCUAAGUACCCCGAGGAAAAGAAAUCAACCGAGAUUCCCCCAGUAGCGGCGAGCGAACGGGGAGGAGCCCAGAGCCUGAAUCAGUGUGUGUGUUAGUGGAAGCGUCUGGAAAGGCGCGCGAUACAGGGUGACAGCCCCGUACACAAAAAUACACAUAUUGUGAGCUCGAUGAGUAGGGCGGGACACGUGGUAUCCUGUCUGAAUAUGGGGGGACCAUCCUCCAAGGCUAAAUACUCCUGACUGACCGAUAGUGAACCAGUACCGUGAGGGAAAGGCGAAAAGAACCCCGGCGAGGGGAGUGAAAAAGAACCUGAAACCGUGUACGUACAAGCAGUGGGAGCACGCUUAGGCGUGUGACUGCGUACCUUUUGUAUAAUGGGUCAGCGACUUAUAUUCUGUAGCAAGGUUAACCGAAUAGGGGAGCCGAAGGGAAACCGAGUCUUAACUGGGCGUUAAGUUGCAGGGUAUAGACCCGAAACCCGGUGAUCUAGCCAUGGGCAGGUUGAAGGUUGGGUAACACUAACUGGAGGACCGAACCGACUAAUGUUGAAAAAUUAGCGGAUGACUUGUGGCUGGGGGUGAAAGGCCAAUCAAACCGGGAGAUAGCUGGUUCUCCCCGAAAGCUAUUUAGGUAGCGCCUCGUGAAUUCAUCUCCGGGGGUAGAGCACUGUUUCGGCAAGGGGGUCAUCCCGACUUACCAACCCGAUGCAAACUGCGAAUACCGGAGAAUGUUAUCACGGGAGACACACGGCGGGUGCUAACGUCCGUCGUGAAGAGGGAAACAACCCAGACCGCCAGCUAAGGUCCCAAAGUCAUGGUUAAGUGGGAAACGAUGUGGGAAGGCCCAGACAGCCAGGAUGUUGGCUUAGAAGCAGCCAUCAUUUAAAGAAAGCGUAAUAGCUCACUGGUCGAGUCGGCCUGCGCGGAAGAUGUAACGGGGCUAAACCAUGCACCGAAGCUGCGGCAGCGACGCUUAUGCGUUGUUGGGUAGGGGAGCGUUCUGUAAGCCUGCGAAGGUGUGCUGUGAGGCAUGCUGGAGGUAUCAGAAGUGCGAAUGCUGACAUAAGUAACGAUAAAGCGGGUGAAAAGCCCGCUCGCCGGAAGACCAAGGGUUCCUGUCCAACGUUAAUCGGGGCAGGGUGAGUCGACCCCUAAGGCGAGGCCGAAAGGCGUAGUCGAUGGGAAACAGGUUAAUAUUCCUGUACUUGGUGUUACUGCGAAGGGGGGACGGAGAAGGCUAUGUUGGCCGGGCGACGGUUGUCCCGGUUUAAGCGUGUAGGCUGGUUUUCCAGGCAAAUCCGGAAAAUCAAGGCUGAGGCGUGAUGACGAGGCACUACGGUGCUGAAGCAACAAAUGCCCUGCUUCCAGGAAAAGCCUCUAAGCAUCAGGUAACAUCAAAUCGUACCCCAAACCGACACAGGUGGUCAGGUAGAGAAUACCAAGGCGCUUGAGAGAACUCGGAUGAAGGAACUAGGCAAAAUGGUGCCGUAACUUCGGGAGAAGGCACGCUGAUAUGUAGGUGAAGUCCCUUGCGGAUGGAGCUGAAAUCAGUCGAAGAUACCAGCUGGCUGCAACUGUUUAUUAAAAACACAGCACUGUGCAAACACGAAAGUGGACGUAUACGGUGUGACGCCUGCCCGGUGCCGGAAGGUUAAUUGAUGGGGUCAGCGCAAGCGAAGCUCUUGAUCGAAGCCCCGGUAAACGGCGGCCGUAACUAUAACGGUCCUAAGGUAGCGAAAUUCCUUGUCGGGUAAGUUCCGACCUGCACGAAUGGCGUAAUGAUGGCCAGGCUGUCUCCACCCGAGACUCAGUGAAAUUGAACUCGCUGUGAAGAUGCAGUGUACCCGCGGCAAGACGGAAAGACCCCGUGAACCUUUACUAUAGCUUGACACUGAACAUUGAGCCUUGAUGUGUAGGAUAGGUGGGAGGCUUUGAAGUGUGGACGCCAGUCUGCAUGGAGCCGGCCUUGAAAUACCACCCUUUAAUGUUUGAUGUUCUAACGUGGACCCGUGAUCCGGGUUGCGGACAGUGUCUGGUGGGUAGUUUGACUGGGGCGGUCUCCUCCUAAAGAGUAACGGAGGAGCACGAAGGUUGGCUAAUCCUGGUCGGACAUCAGGAGGUUAGUGCAAUGGCAUAAGCCAGCUUGACUGCGAGCGUGACGGCGCGAGCAGGUGCGAAAGCAGGUCAUAGUGAUCCGGUGGUUCUGAAUGGAAGGGCCAUCGCUCAACGGAUAAAAGGUACUCCGGGGAUAACAGGCUGAUACCGCCCAAGAGUUCAUAUCGACGGCGGUGUUUGGCACCUCGAUGUCGGCUCAUCACAUCCUGGGGCUGAAGUAGGUCCCAAGGGUAUGGCUGUUCGCCAUUUAAAGUGGUACGCGAGCUGGGUUUAGAACGUCGUGAGACAGUUCGGUCCCUAUCUGCCGUGGGCGCUGGAGAACUGAGGGGGGCUGCUCCUAGUACGAGAGGACCGGAGUGGACGCAUCACUGGUGUUCGGGUUGUCAUGCCAAUGGCACUGCCCGGUAGCUAAAUGCGGAAGAGAUAAGUGCUGAAAGCAUCUAAGCACGAAACUUGCCCCGAGAUGAGUUCUCCCUGACCCUUUAAGGGUCCUGAAGGAACGUUGAAGACGACGACGUUGAUAGGCCGGGUGUGUAAGCGCAGCGAUGCGUUGAGCUAACCGGUACUAAUGAACCGUGAGGCUUAACCUUACAACGCCGAAG